rnacentral:rRNA from 1 species
GAACCGUCCAAACGUUAUUCGGAAUCAUUGGGCUUAAAGGGUGCGUAGGCGGUGCGGCCAGUUGGGUGUGAAAUCCCUCGGCUCAACCGAGGAACUGCGCCCAAUACUGCCGCGCUCGAGGGUGGCAGAGGUAAGCGGAACUGAUGGUGGAGCGGUGAAAUGCGUUGAUAUCAUCAGGAACACCAGUGGCGAAGGCGGCUUACUGGGUCUCUUCUGACGCUGAGGCACGAAAGCUAGGGGGAGCGAACGGGAUUAGAUACCCCGGUAGUCCUAGCUGUAAACGAUGAGCACUUGAUCGGAGGCUCCUCCCAUAGGUUUCCGGUCGUAGCGAAAGUGUUAAGUGCUCCGCCUGGGAGUAUGGUCGCAAGGCUG